ACGCUGGCGGCGUGCCUAAUACAUGCAAGUAGAACGCUGAAGAGAGGAGCUUGCUCUUCUUGGAUGAGUUGCGAACGGGUGAGUAACGCGUAGGUAACCUGCCUUGCAGCGGGGGAUAACUAUUGGAAACGAUAGCUAAUACCGCAUAACAAUGGAUGACACAUGUCAUUUAUUUGAAAGGGGCAAUUGCUCCACUACAAGAUGGACCUGCGUUGUAUUAGCUAGUAGGUGAGGUAACGGCUCACCUAGGCGACGAUACAUAGCCGACCUGAGAGGGUGAUCGGCCACACUGGGACUGAGACACGGCCCAGACUCCUACGGGAGGCAGCAGUAGGGAAUCUUCGGCAAUGGGGGCAACCCUGACCGAGCAACGCCGCGUGAGUGAAGAAGGUUUUCGGAUCGUAAAGCUCUGUUGUAAGUCAAGAACGAGUGUGAGAGUGGAAAGUUCACACUGUGACGGUAGCUUACCAGAAAGGGACGGCUAACUACGUGCCAGCAGCCGCGGUAAUACGUAGGUCCCGAGCGUUGUCCGGAUUUAUUGGGCGUAAAGCGAGCGCAGGCGGUUUGAUAAGUCUGAAGUUAAAGGCUGUGGCUCAACCAUAGUUCGCUUUGGAAACUGUCAAACUUGAGUGCAGAAGGGGAGAGUGGAAUUCCAUGUGUAGCGGUGAAAUGCGUAGAUAUAUGGAGGAACACCGGUGGCGAAAGCGGCUCUCUGGUCUGUAACUGACGCUGAGGCUCGAAAGCGUGGGGAGCGAACAGGAUUAGAUACCCUGGUAGUCCACGCCGUAAACGAUGAGUGCUAGGUGUUGGAUCCUUUCCGGGAUUCAGUGCCGCAGCUAACGCAUUAAGCACUCCGCCUGGGGAGUACGACCGCAAGGUUGAAACUCAAAGGAAUUGACCGGGGGCCCGCACAAGCGG
rnacentral:rRNA from 1 species